GAAGCAUGCAGCUCAGUGGCAGAGAAUCUGCUUUGAAUGGAGAAGACCCAGAGUUCAAUCUCUGGCAUCUUCA